rnacentral:rRNA from 1 species
GAUGAACGCUGGCGGCGUGCCUAAUACAUGCAAGUCGAGCGAACAGACGAGGAGCUUGCUCCUCUGACGUUAGCGGCGGACGGGUGAGUAACACGUGGAUAACCUACCUAUAAGACUGGGAUAACUUCGGGAAACCGGAGCUAAUACCGGAUAAUAUAUUGAACCGCAUUGUUCAAUAGUGAAAGACGGUUUUGCUGUCACUUAUAGAUGGAUCCGCGCCGCAUUAGCUAGUUGGUAAGGUAACGGCUUACCAAGGCAACGAUGCGUAGCCGACCUGAGAGGGUGAUCGGCCACACUGGAACUGAGACACGGUCCAGACUCCUAAGGGAGGCAGCAGUAGGGAAUCUUACGCAAUGGGCGAAAGCUUGACGGAGAAACGCCGCGUGAGUGAUGAAGGUCUUCGGAUCGUAAAACUCUGUUAUUAGGGAAGAACAAAUGUGUAAGUAACUAUGCACGUCUUGACGGUACCUAAUCAGAAAGCCACGGCUAACUACGUG